UACGUAGGUGGCAAGCGUUGUCCGGAAUUACUGGGCGUAAAGCGUGCGCAGGCGGUUUUGUAAGUCUGUCGUGAAAGCCCCGGGCUCAACCUGGGAAUUGCGAUGGAGACUGCAAGGCUUGAAUCUGGCAGAGGGGGGUAGAAUUCCACGUGUAGCAGUGAAAUGCGUAGAGAUGUGGAGGAACACCGAUGGCGAAGGCACCCCCUGGGUCAAGAUUGACGCUCAUGCACGAAAGCGUGGGGAGCAAACAGG
rnacentral:rRNA from 1 species